rnacentral:rRNA from 1 species
UACAGAGGCCUCGAGCGUUAGGCGGAAUCACUGGGCUUAAAGCGCGUGUAGGCGGAUCGUUAAGUGUCUUGUGAAAUCCCACGGCUCAACCGUGGAACUGCUGGGCAUACUGGCGAUCUUGGGCCACUCAGGGGCGACCGGAACAAGCGGUGGAGCGGUGAAAUGCGUAGAUAUCGCUUGGAACGCCACAGGUGAAGACAGGUCGCUGGGGGUGUGCCGACGCUGAGACGCGAAAGCCAGGGGAGCAAACGGG